rnacentral:tRNA from 1 species
GGAGGGGUAGCGAAGUGGUCAAACGCGCCUGACUGUAAAUCAGGUGGCUCUGCCUUCGGAGGUUCGAAUCCUUCCCCCUCCACCA